rnacentral:siRNA from 1 species
UUGAUGUCGUCUUCACUUUCAG